rnacentral:rRNA from 1 species
GACGAACGCUGGCGGCGUGCUUAACACAUGCAAGUCGAACGGAAAGGCCCUGCUUUUGUGGGGUGCUCGAGUGGCGAACGGGUGAGUAACACGUGAGUAACCUGCCCUUGACUUUGGGAUAACUUCAGGAAACUGGGGCUAAUACCGGAUAGGAGCUCCUGCUGCAUGGUGGGGGUUGGAAAGUUUCGGCGGUUGGGGAUGGACUCGCGGCUUAUCAGCUUGUUGGGGGGGUAGUGGCUUACCAAGGCUUUGACGGGUAGCCGGCCUGAGAGGGUGACCGGCCACAGUGGGACUGAGAUACGGCCCAGACUCCUACGGGAGGCAGCAGUGGGGAAUAUUGCACGAUGGGCGGAAGCCUGAUGCAGCAACGCCGCGUGCGGGAUGACGGCCUUCGGGUUGUAAACCGCUUUCGCCUGUGACGAAGCGUGAGUGACGGUAAUGGGUAAAGAAGCACCGGCUAACUACGUG